AGCAGCCGCGGUAAUUCCAGCUCCAAUAGCGUAUAUUAAAGUUGUUGCAGUUAAAAGCUGUAGUUGAAUUUUCGGAUCAAGGAAUCGGUCAUGCCUCGUAUGUACUGGUUUAUUGGUUCUCACCUUUCUAAAGAACCAUGAUGUCAUUCAUUGAUGUUAUGGGGGAAUAGACUGUUACUUGAAAAAUUAGAGUGUUAAGCAGGCUUACGCUUGAAUACAUUAGCAUGGAAUAAUGA
rnacentral:rRNA from 1 species